rnacentral:rRNA from 1 species
GUAGGUGGCAAGCGUUGUCCGGAAUUAUUGGGCGUAAAGCGCGCGCAGGUGGUUCUUUAAGUCUGAUGUGAAAGCCCACGGCUCAACCGGGGAGGGUCAUUGGAAACUGGGGAACUUGAGUGCAGGAGAGGAAAGUGGAAUUCCACGUGUAGCGGUGAAAUGCGUAGAUAUGUGGAGGAACACCAGUGGCGAAGGCGACUUUCUGGCCUGUAACUGACACUGAGGCGCGAAAGCGUGGGGAGCAAACAGGGAUUAGAUACCCUGGUAGUCCACGCCGUAAACGAUGAGUGCUAAGUGUUGGGGGGGUUUCCCGCCCCUCAGUGCUGCAGCUAACGCAUUAAGCACUCCGCCUGGGGAUACGGUCGCAAGACUG